UACGUAGGUGACAAGCGUUGUCCGGAUUUACUGGGCGUAAAGAGCGCGCAGGCGGUCGAUCAAGUCGAGUGUGAAAGCCCCCGGCUCAACUGGGGAGGGUCAUUCGAUACUGAUCGACUCGAAAGGCAGGAGAGGGUAGUGGAAUUCCCGGUGUAGUGGUGGAAAUGCGUAGAUAUCGGGAGGAACACCAGUGGCGAAGGCGACUACCUGGCCUGUUCUUGACGCUGAGGCGCGAAAGCUAGGGGAGCAAACGGG
rnacentral:rRNA from 1 species